AGGUGGGAGUAAACAAAUAAUUACAAUACAGCAAAGUAAAUGCUAAGGGAGAUCUAGCUCAUAUGGUAUGAAAAGUAUGCAUAAGGUGAUGAACGAGGAUGAACCAUAAAAUUUAGCAAGAUGGAAGAUGUGGAGAUGAUACCUCAGUUGCAACGAAUUAAGGAAAAACUGGCAGUUGAAGUAGUUUGGACUAUUUCUUUCAAGGAGUUUUUCUAUAAAGGGAGAAAAGAGAUAUGGAACCCUGGCUGUAGGAAGUUUGUAGUUAGUUUAUUUUUAUUUUUUUAGAUGAGAUGGUGUAGUGUAGUAUGUUUAUACCUCAGGAGGGAUAAUUUAGUAUAGACCCGUACGUUGAGCAUACAGAAAACUGAAGAAAUAACUGCAUGAGGACAGGGCUCAAAUGGGACAGAAGGGAGGGCCUACAGGACAUGAGUGGAUGGUUUUGCCCUAGUUAAGAACAAGGAGGUAUUAUCCAUGGGAAAAUGCAGCUGGGUCAGUAGAUUUGGUUGUAGGAAGGUAAGGCGUUCUCUUUUGAUUGUGUCUAUGCUAUUUUUUAAAUGAAAUAAGUAGACUCAACGGGAAUAAAAAGAAGACAGAUAGGAUGAAUGGUUAAGUGGAGAGGAGAAAGUGUGAUUGAUGGAGGGUGUAGAGAAUUUCUGGUUGGUGUAAAGGUCCAUGGAGACACUCAGGAAUGACCAGUCAGUACAGCUUGUGCAUUUUUCUCAAGCCAUAUUCUGCCUCCUCAAUUCAGUGGUCUAAUAGGUGGAGAGUUAUGAGAGGGUUUGCCAGGAAAGUCAACAAAUGGAGAAGAGGCAAAGGAGUUGAAGGUAUGAGCAAGGGAAUGAUUAUGACAAGAGUAGCAGUUAAACUGCGUAAGGUGGAAUUGACGGGGUUUUCAGAGAUCUGAAAGGGGCCUGCAAAUUGUCAGACUGGUGUCUUUAGUGUGAUAUUAUGGAGAGAAGGAGGUGGCUGUGAGAACACGAGAUGCUAGUGAUUGAGAAUUGGCAAAUUGCACUCUUACUGAUAACAGGUUAUAGGAUAUGUCCAAAGGAAUGAGUGGCUGAAGUCAGGUGGAAGAGAAGAUCUCAUAUGUACACAGGUCAGGGAAGUGAGAGAGACUGGGAUUUUGGGCAGAUGAUCAGUGUAAAUUUUUAAAUCACCAGAAAUAAUGACAAAAAUAGUGAGAGAAAAACAGAAGACUGCAAGCAAAAAUAUUCAGAAAAUAAGGAGAAAUGAGUAAAAUUUAGCAGACGACUAUGACAACCAGGAUAGUACAUUUUGUUGGCCUGUGCUUUUAAUACAGUGAGUUUUUAUAAUCAGAAAUGUCUGAGAAACAGCAAUAAGAGAGAAACAGAAUGACGAUCCAGCCCCCAGGCCCCACCAUAGGUAGAAGGAGCAGAAAAAGGCAUUCUCCUCUUAGGGGACAAUAAGGGAACCUGGGUCAUCAAGGGAAGUCAGUUUUCUAUUCAAGUCAGAAGAGGAAGAAAGCAAUAAGAGAAAAUAUUGGAGAUGGGGAAUUUUGCUAAUGACAGACUGCAUGUUCCAGGGAAUACAUUGAAAGUUUUUUGGAGAGUGAGGAAUUGGAAAGAAAUGGAAGAUUAUGUUAGUUAAGGGAUAUAAUGGGUUAUAGGGAUAAAUUCUGGGUAUUUAAAAUCCCGGGAUGCUUGGAUUUUUCGUGGUUACAGAGUAAAAUGGGAAUAAAGGCAUGAUGGGAUUAAUCUGGUAGUAUUUUGGUGGGAGAUAAAUUAGUGGUAGAAACAUAGGAAGUGUGGAGAGAUGUUGAUUUGGAUUGGGUUGGGGGUUGAUGAGCAUUGUUUAUAUACAUUGAUUAGUGGGCUUCAAAAGUGCUAAAGUGAUGUCAUAGCUGGAAAAGAGAGCUGGAAAAUCUUUAUCAGGACCACAGAGAAUUCUUUGCAGAUUUCUUAAAUCCAAAACAGUGAAAUACAAAAAAGAAGGCACACUGGAAAGAGGUUGGGAAGAGCAGAGGAAUGGAUUGGGGGUGGCUCAGCUUGAGUCAUUGCCUGGGAUACACAUUGGGGCUGGAGGCAUCCCUUAAAAGAGAGGUCUGGUUAGCUGAUGUUUGCCUGAUUUAACACUAGAAUUAGUCUUUAAGCAAAGUAUGUUUAGAAUUGUAGUAGUCAUUGGUUUGGAGAACCUAUUGAUAUAAGCAGAAACUUCCUAAAUCUAAUCUUCUAUUAGUCUGACCUGCUCCAGUUUUUAGAUGUUCAGCCUCUUUUCUGGUGCUACAGAAUGAAACACCUUCAGAUAAGGGUCCAAGAGACAGAGAGAAACCAUACCUCUCCAUGAAUUUCCAUUUGUUACUCACAAGUUUGAAAACAAUUAACCUCCCAGUAGAGACAUCACAUUUUAAAAUCACCAUACGGACAAUGAGCGUUAAUAGAGUCUGCAUGAUUAUGGGCUGAUGAUCCAUGAUACAUAUUGUCAUAAAGAUAAAUGGAUUCUAAAUGAAUCUGGUGGUAGAUUCUAUUUACAUGUCUGGGACUUCCUAUUUUAAAAAACUAUGGACUCAUUUGAUGGAUAUAUGUGCUUUGUAACUACGCAUGGUAACUGAAACCCUUAAUGAGCUCAGAUGGGGUAAUAUAUUGUCCAGUAUUAGCAUUAAACUCUUGCCACUUUUCAGGAAGCCCAGUUUCCUAGAGUCUUUUCAUAGCCUCACAGAGCAUCACAAAGGGUAAUGUAAUUAUUAGAAAGUAUUUAUAAAAAACCUCAUUUAUUUUCCAUGAUUAGGGAAUAGAUGUUUCUACUUUAACUGCUAUUUUACAUACCUUAACCAUCUUCCUGAAAAAUUCGAAAUUUGAAGGAAAAAAAAAUCUAGUUUUGAUGGAAUUCUUUUAAAAUUUAUUACUAUUUUUACAUAGGUAAAAAUAGCAUAAUUUAAUCUUUUGUUGAUUACUUAGAGUAGGCAGGCUAGAGUCAUAGCCAUGAGCCAUAUAACCAAAGCAAAGAUACUUAACUUCUCUAAGCUUUCCUUUCUUCCUCUGCAAAAUGUAUCAAUACCUACUUCAAAGGGUCAUAUGUGAAUGAAAUGAGAUCAUGCGUAGAGAGAGCUUAGCCUUAAUUCUGCCACAUACUACACAAUCAAGCAUAGCUAUCAUUAUCAGAUUAGCAUUUUAAUUUUCACCAUCAAAAAUUUCCUCCACUUUAAUCAAAUGAUGCCUACAGGGCCAUAUGCCCCUGGACAUCAUGGCCUUAAAGUGCCAUUUUGAAUUAUGGGUUUUGAGUUAUAAUUUUAUGUUUUUCAAUCUUAUCACUUGUUUUUUGCAGUGGUAUAUGCUUUCACUUAUCUGCAUUAAUUAUUCUCUUCAACCACUGGAUUUUCUGCUUCUAAUAUGCUCUAGUAUGAGAAACUUGGUACCUGGAUUUAUUUGAACUGUAUAAAGUAGGUAUAAAAUAGAUUUUUGAAUGAGAGCUAGAAGGACUCUCUUAUAAUCCAAAGUUAUGGAUUUUAGGGUAUGAAAUUGGUAACAUCCAUGUAAGUUCUUGGAAAAGUUUUUUUGUAUUUAGUUUAACUCAGUUUCAACUCUCAGAUACAUGUCAGACAUUUGUUAUGUAAGGUCCAGACCACUGUCACUGCCAUUUAUUCAAUGACCAAAUAUCUUAGAAAAUGAAAUUGUGUCCCAGAAAUUCCAUUUCUAGAUAUUUACCCAGGGAAAAUGAAAGAAUAACAUCCACACAAAUACUUGUAGACAAAUAUUCAUAACAGUUUUAUUUACAAAAGACAAGCCUGAAAAUUUCUCAAAUGUCCAUCAGCAGGUGAACAGAUAAAUAAAUUGUAGUACAUCCUCACAGUGGAUUACUAUUCAGCAACAAAAAAGUAAAUAAUUUAUCAAUUAAUCAACCAAUAAGAAGAGUAAACUAUUGAUAACACGAGAUAGCACAGAUGUAUCUCAAAUCAUUAUGCCAAGUAAAAUAAGCCAGACUCUUUCAAAAAAAAAGCCUGAUACCAUUUUUAUAAAAUUCUAGAAAAUGUAAACUAAUAUAUAGAGAGUAAGAAAGAUUGGAUUGCAUAGGGGCACAAGAAAACUUUGGGGGUGGUAAAUUUGAUGUUUUAAUUAUGAUGAUGGCUAGUGGGUGUAUAUAUAUAUAUACACACACAUAUAUACACAUAAUCAAAUAGUUUGUGUACAUGUAUGCAGUGUAUUGCAUGUAAAUUUUACCUCAACAGAGUUAUUUAAAGCAUCCUUCUGUGUUCCCCUGAUCACCUGUUUCCAGACUAGGUGAGCUCCUGUUUGCCAUUCUAUGUCAUAUUAUAACAGCCUGUACUGUAUCUUUGUAAAAUGCAUCCAAGUGUCUUUUAGAGUUAGUGGAAUAUCUGUUUAUAUAAUGUCUUUCCUCUCUGGACUGUCAACUCCAAGUCGACCAGAAAUGUAUCCCUUUUUUUCAUUGUGUUUUCUCACCACUUAGCACAUUGAAUGAACGGAUGAAACAUUGAAGGUGUUACUUGUGUUGGUAAAUAUCUUGUAAUUAAUCUUCUUUCUUUUUAAGUGAAGAUCUCUGAGAAUAAAGCAGUAGGGGAUGGGCUGAUGGUGGAUAUGAGGAAAGGUGUCCCCUUGCUGUGUUACAAUGUGCAAAUGAGAGGAGGGUAAGUCGGAGUGGGAAUGAGAUAGGUCUGCAGCAAUACUUUAACUUGGGACAUAUGCAGAAACCAGCAAAACAAACCUACACGAAGGUGAAAUACAGUUUAAAAUAUUUUAUGCAAGAUGUGUUGCCUAUGGGACACUAAAAAACAAGGCUAACAUUUUUGUGUCAGUGUUGAGAGUGCAAGUGCAGAGGGAGAGUUUUGCAGAUGUCAAAUGCAGCCCUCAGGGGACACUCGUUCUAGAAUGAAGCAAUGCCACACAUCACACUGGGGCUUCGGCUGCCAUUGAGCUGUGCUCUGAGCUCCCUGCCCUCAGCAAGCCGACAAGUGAGACACCUUAAUCAAGAAUGGAAAUCUCUGAGUCCUGGGAGAAAUUCCUUCAACAGAGAGAUUAAUUUUAACUAAAUGGAAACAGCUUGUGAAAUAAAAGCAAGAGUGAAUCUUUAUGGAAAAUUUUAGGAUUGCACUUAGUGGCAGUCCCAAAACAACACCAGGGUCCAAAGGCAAUCUUAAAAAGACACUCAUAGGGUCACUUAAGGCACUGAAAGGUCUAUCAUAUAAAAUUAAAUUCUAGUGGGAAAAUUAUUACGCUAUAUCUAUACAUGUAAAUAGAAGGUUAAAUAGUCAUCUAGCUAUUUUUAGAUAUUCGGCAUGAUGUAAACUCGAUGUUCUUCUCAGCAGCAUUUUUGUAAAGUAUCUUUACAUGUUAUUUUAAUUGAGUUUAUAUUUGUUUAGCCUGUGUGUUCAUUACCAUGGGGUUGUAAAUUGUAAUUUAAAAUACAAUCAAUGACUGCCUUUAAAGAUUAGCCUCUCCCUUCAAAUUGUGUUUCCUGGCCCCUGUGCUACUUGAACAAGACGUAGUAACACUCUAAAGAGAUAUAAAAGACAUUCUACAAUGGAACACUCCAUUGUGAGAUAUAAACCUUUUUUCAGGCGUUUGGAGAUGAGAGAGAGAGUCACAUGAGCAGUACUGAGCAGACUGUAGCUCCUCAACUGAAGACUCUAGGAUCAGUGGGAGACAGAGGAGUGGAGUUACAACUGGACGGGAAGACACUAUGCAAAAACUACAGACUUUGACUUUGUGAAAUACUUCAGGAAAACCACAUGGUAGAAUACGAUACAGGUGAAUUUCAUUUGUCAAAUGUGUUUAUGACGGGAAAGAAGUAGAUAAUAACAAUGCUAGGCCAUAUAGCACUAUAAUACAUCUGAGAAAUCCAAGCAAUUUCAGUUCAAAAUGGUGAAUUAAGGGGAACAAUCUGAUCAUUUGACCUGAUAAUAAUCCAUAAUACAUUGUUUCUUAGAGACCGUAUUGGAAUAAAGGCCUAAAGGAGUUGAAUGAAGGUACUCAGGCUGCUGCCACUGGAGUCAGACUAACGUCAUUGGAGUCAGACAACCUAACUUGUGCACUGGCUGAACAGAUGAGUAAUUGUGUCAUGAUAGCCAAUUUCUUAACUUUUCCCCUCUCGGCAUCUUUAUCGGUAAAAUGAGGAUGUCAUCGGUAUUUACUUAUUAAGAGACUUGUGAGGAUUAACUAAAUUAAUCAUAGACAAGAGGCAUGUAGUCUACACAGUAAGUGCUCAACAAGUGGCAGUGUGUUAUUGAUGAUAAUGAUCAUGACCACAACAACAAGCUUGCCACCUGCCUGUUUUUAUGAUUAUGUCGUGAUAAUAGAUAAUAGAAAUUACACCGCCUUGUUCUGAGAUUAGCACAGCCUUUCUUGCAAAUCUUUCAGUGGCUCACUAAAGACUGGUGUUUCUACCAGCUCAUUCAGAAAACCCCUGUAAGCAAAUCACAAACAUAAAUGUUGAAUUAAGAUGACCACUUUCAGAAAGAGUCUCUGAGGCUGUUUGGUUCCUUACUGGUGGGAGAGAAUUUUCAAUGGUUACCAACCAGGAUCAUUCCUUCAUUUGUUCAAAUUAACCUGAAACAUCCUCAGUAAUUCAGGAAUGUUUAACUCAAUAUUAAAGAUUAUUUAUACUAGGGAUGCAUUCAUGUCAAGAAAACAGCAACUGGGCCAGUGGAUUAGGCCUUCCAGAUGAAGCUAUGGGGAUCUUUUCUCUAAGCACAGGAAAUCAGCCAAACUCAAUUUGUUUAAGAUGCUGAGGUUAACAAUUUGUUUUCUUUCUCAAAGCACUUGCUUCUAAGAAUAGCCAAGAUACACUAAAUCAUUUAAUCCUUUCCCAUUUUCCAUUCUUCUGAUGAGGUGGAUUUCCCAAUUAUAAAACACAAGGAAAACAUUCAAUCAAAGAAGCAGCAAGAAGUGAUUUAUGAUAAUUGAUAUUUAAUGGCUCAAUCUCAAAUCUUGUUUCAGUUCUUGUGUUACAGGAGAGAUUUUUCUAAUUCCCGCUAUGAAAGUUUGGCAGGAGAGAAUAAAUACCAUGACUUUCUUUCUUCUUAUACUCCUACCUGAUGUUAUAUUAUACCCCUAAAUAAUAUGUUCAAAAUUCCCCUGGAAUUACAUAAAGCACUUUACAUAGUCUGUUCAUAA